rnacentral:rRNA from 1 species
GACGAACGCUGGCGGCGUGCUUAACACAUGCAAGUCGUACGGUAAGGCCCUUUCUUUGGUACACGCUCGGCUGACGGGUGGGUAACUCGUAAGCGACCUGCCCUCCCCUUUCUGUUAACUGCCUUCAACGGAGUGUAAUACCUGCUAGAACUUACUCCCUCAUGCGUGGUGGUGGAAAGCCUGCGGGUGGGGGGGGAUGGGCUCGCGGUCUAUCAGCUUGUUGGUGGGGUGUUGGCCUACCAAGGCUUCGACGGGUAGCCGGCCUGAGAGGGUGACCGGCCACACUGGGACUGAGACACGGCCCAGACUCCUACGGGAGGCAGCAGUGGGGAAUAUUGGACAAUGGGCGAAAGCCUGAUCCAGCAACGCCGCGUGAGGGAUGACGGCCUUCGGGUUGUAAACCUCUUUCGCCUGCGACGAAGCGAGAGUGACGGUAGCAGGUAAAGAAGCACCGGCCAACUACGUG